CAUUAAGGCUCACUGGCAAGCCCUUCGUACUUCUUCCCUCUCCGGCACUAGCUUCCUUAAGUCGACUCUGUGAAAUACCUGCUAAUCUUAUCCUGAACCAGAGUUUCGACCCUCGGAACAGUCUUGCCCACAUCUUUGGGACCCGAUUCGUCCUGCUGAUUCCGGCACUCGAGGGGCGGGUUGGUUGGAACCCACCCCGCCAGGCCCCUCUCAAUCCCACACCGUGUCCACCCUUGCCCGCAGGACGGCGGCCCGGAAGUGACGUAGUGGAAGCGGAAGUGGUGUGUUGGUGCCGACUUCCUGUUGUUUGAGGCCGGGUUGGGGGUGUGCGAUUGUGUGGGACGGUCUGGGGCAGCCCAGCAGCGGCUGACCCUCUGCCUGCGGGGAAGGGAGUCGCCAGGCGGCCGUCAUGGCGGUGUCGGAGAGCCAGCUCAAGAAAAUGGUGUCCAAGUACAAAUACAGAGACCUAACUGUACGUGAAACUGUCAAUGUUAUUACUCUAUACAAAGAUCUCAAACCUGUUUUGGAUUCAUAUGUUUUUAACGAUGGCAGUUCCAGGGAACUAAUGAACCUCACUGGAACAAUCCCUGUGCCUUAUAGAGGUAAUACAUAUAAUAUUCCAAUAUGCCUAUGGCUACUGGACACAUACCCAUAUAAUCCCCCUAUCUGUUUUGUUAAGCCUACUAGUUCAAUGACUAUUAAAACAGGAAAGCAUGUUGAUGCAAAUGGGAAGAUAUAUCUUCCUUAUCUACAUGAAUGGAAACACCCACAGUCAGACUUGUUGGGGCUUAUUCAGGUCAUGAUUGUGGUAUUUGGAGAUGAACCUCCAGUCUUCUCUCGUCCUAUUUCGGCAUCCUAUCCGCCAUACCAGGCAACGGGGCCACCAAAUACUUCCUACAUGCCAGGCAUGCCAGGUGGAAUCUCUCCAUACCCAUCCGGAUACCCUCCCAAUCCCAGUGGUUACCCAGGCUGUCCUUACCCACCUGGUGGUCCAUAUCCUGCCACAACAAGUUCUCAGUACCCUUCUCAGCCUCCUGUGACCACUGUUGGUCCCAGUAGGGAUGGCACAAUCAGCGAGGACACCAUCCGAGCCUCUCUCAUCUCUGCGGUCAGUGACAAACUGAGAUGGCGGAUGAAGGAGGAAAUGGAUCGUGCCCAGGCAGAGCUCAAUGCCUUGAAACGAACAGAAGAAGACCUGAAAAAGGGUCACCAGAAACUGGAAGAGAUGGUUACCCGUUUAGAUCAAGAAGUAGCCGAGGUUGAUAAAAACAUAGAACUUUUGAAAAAGAAGGAUGAAGAACUCAGUUCUGCUCUGGAAAAAAUGGAAAAUCAGUCUGAAAACAAUGAUAUCGAUGAAGUUAUCAUUCCCACAGCUCCCUUAUACAAACAGAUCCUGAAUCUGUAUGCAGAAGAAAACGCUAUUGAAGACACUAUCUUUUACUUGGGAGAAGCCUUGAGAAGGGGCGUGAUAGACCUGGAUGUCUUCCUGAAGCAUGUACGUCUUCUGUCCCGUAAACAGUUCCAGCUGAGGGCACUAAUGCAAAAAGCAAGAAAGACUGCCGGUCUCAGUGACCUCUACUGACUUCUCUGAUACCAGCUGGAGGCCUCACUGAACCAUAAGUGUUUUCAUCAAAAAGGAGCAGAGUGGCAGGUCCAAACUAUAUACCUGAUAACUUUAGGAUUAAAGGGAAAGAUACAGUGUACCAUUGCCUCCCUGCUUUUAUUGUCAUUUAAAGUUUCGUCUUCAUGACUUCAGUGCCCUGAACGGUUAGAGAAAUUAAUGAAGGAGCUCCACCAGGUGCCUUCACAACUCUGAGUCAUAUCAGAAUCUCUCCACAGCUCUCCUUUCAAAAAUGACACCGUGAGAUUUCAGGAUGUGAAAAAACUUACUGGAAAGUGUGUAAGAAAAUAUAAAAUACUAUUAUACAAUGUGAUAA